UACGGAGGGUCCGAGCGGUAUCCGGAAGCAUUGGGUUUAAAGGGUCCGUAGGCGGGACAUUAAGUCAGGGGUGAAAUGUUGCAGCUCAACUGCAGAAUGGCCUUUGAUACUGGUGUUCUUGAGUUAUGUUGCUGUGGUCGGAACAUGUGGUGUAGCAGUGAAAUGCAUAGAUAUCACAUAGAACGCCGAUUGCGAAGGCAGGUCACAAAGCAUAUACUGACGCUGAGGGACGAAAGCGUGGGGAGCGAACGGG
rnacentral:rRNA from 1 species